AUUGAACGCUGGCGGCAGGCUUAACACAUGCAAGUCGAGCGGGGGAUGUUGCUUCGGUAACUGACCUAGCGGCGGACGGGUGAGUAAUGCUUAGGAAUCUGCCUAUUAGUGGGGGACAACAUUCCGAAAGGAAUGCUAAUACCGCAUACGCCCUAUGGGGGAAAGCAGGGGAUCUUCGGACCUUGCGCUAAUAGAUGAGCCUAAGUCAGAUUAGCUAGUUGGUGGGGUAAAGGCCUACCAAGGCGACGAUCUGUAGCGGGUCUGAGAGGAUGAUCGGCCGCACUGGGACGGAGACCCGGGCCAGACUCCUACGGGAGGCAGCAGUGGUGAAUAUUGGACAAUGGGCGGAAGCCUGAUCCAGCCAUGACGCGUGUGUGAAGAAGGCCUUUUGGUUGUAAAGCACUUUAAGCGAGGAGGAGGCUACCGAGACUAAUACUCUUGGAUAGUGGACGUUACUCGCAGAAUAAGCACCGGCUAACUCUGUGCCAGCCGCCGCCGUAAGAC
rnacentral:rRNA from 1 species